rnacentral:rRNA from 1 species
CUGCCCUUGGGUCCGGCAUAACCCCGGGAAACUGGGGAUAAUUCCGGAUAACGCACAUAUGCUGGAAUGCUUUAUGCGUCAAAUGGAUUCGUCUGCCCAAGGAUGGGUCUGCGGCCUAUCAGGUAGUAGUGGGUGUAAUGUACCUACUAGCCGACGACGGGUACGGGUUGUGAGAGCAAGAGCCCGGAGAUGGAUUCUGAGACAUGAAUCCAGGCCCUACGGGGCGCAGCAGGCGCGAAAACUUUACAAUGCGGGAAACCGUGAUAAGGGGACACCGAGUGCCAGCAUCAUAUGCUGGCUGUCCGGGUGUGUAAAAUACACCUGUUAGCAAGGGCCGGGCAAGACCGGUGCCAGCCGCCGCGGUAACACCGGCGGCCCGAGUGGUGAUCGUGAUUAUUGGGUCUAAAGGGUCCGUAGCCGGUUUGGUCAGUCCUCCGGGAAAUCUGACGGCUUAACCGUUAGGCUUUCGGAGGAUACUGCCAGGCUUGGAACCGGGAGAGGUAAGAGGUACUACAGGGGUAGGAGUGAAAUCUUGUAAUCCCUGUGGGACCACCUGUGGCGAAGGCGUCUUACCAGAACGGGUUCGACGGUGAGGGA